GUUGGCAAAUGAUAUGAAAUAUUAUAUGCUAUACACUGAAUCUUUGAUAUGUUUUACAAAACUCUACUUAUUAUCCAAGGCAAUC
rfam:Triticum aestivum genome assembly, contig: Triticum_aestivum_CS42_TGACv1_scaffold_556115_7AL